UGGGGAAUAUUGCACAAUGGGCGCAAGCCUGAUGCAGCCAUGCCGCGUGUAUGAAGAAGGCCUUCGGGUUGUAAAGUACUUUCAGCGGGGAGGAAGGCGUUGUGGUUAAUAACCGCAACGAUUGACGUUACUCGCAGAAGAAGCACCGGCUAACUCCGUGCCAGCAGCCGCGGUAAUACGGCGGGUGCAAGCGUUAAUCGGAAUUACUGGGCGUAAAGCGCACGCAGGCGGUCUGUCAAGUCGGAUGUGAAAUCCCCGGGCUCAACCUGGGAACUGCAUCCGAAACUGGCAGGCUAGAGUCUUGUAGAGGGGGGUAGAAUUCCAGGUGUAGCGGUGAAAUGCGUAGAGAUCUGGAGGAAUACCGGUGGCGAAGGCGGCCCCCUGGACAAAGACUGACGCUCAGGUGCGAAAGCGUGGGGAGCAAACA
rnacentral:rRNA from 1 species